rnacentral:rRNA from 1 species
UGCGUAGGCCGUUCGAAAAGUUGGGUGUGAAAUACCUCGGCUCAACCGAGGAACUGCGCCCAAAACUGUCGGACUCGAGGGAGACAUAGGUGUGCGGAACUUAGGGUGGAGCGGUGAAAUGCGUUGAGAUCCUAGGGAACACCAGUAGCGAAAGCGGCACACUGGGUCUCUUCUGACGCUGAUGCACGAAAGCUAGGGGAGCGAAGAGGAUUAGAUACCCUCGUAGUCCUAGCCGUAAACGAUGAGCACUGGUUUGGAGGCUCCUCCAUAGGCUUCCAGACGUAGCGAAAGUGUUAAGUGCUCCGCCUGGGGAGUAUGGUCGCAAGGCUGAA